rnacentral:rRNA from 1 species
UGCCAGCCGCCGCGGUAAAACCAGCACCUCAAGUGGUCAGGAUGAUUAUUGGGCCUAAAGCAUCCGUAGCCGGCUCUGUAAGUUUUCGGUUAAAUCUGUACGCUCAACGUACAGGCUGCCGGGAAUACUGCAGAGCUAGGGAGUGGGAGAGGUAGACGGUACUCGGUAGGAAGGGGUAAAAUCCUUUGAUCUAUUGAUGACCACCUGUGGCGAAGGCGGUCUAACAGAACACGUACGAAGGUGAGGGAUGAACUCUGGGGGCGCAAACCGUAUUAGAUC